rnacentral:rRNA from 1 species
GUAGGUGGCAAGCGUUGUCCGGAAUUAUUGGGCGUAAAGCGCGCGCAGGCGGUUCGUUUAAGUCUGAUGUGAAAGCCCACGGGCUCAACCGUGGAGGGUCAUUGGAAACUGGAGAACUUGAGUACAGAAGAGGAAAGCGGAAUUCCACGUGUAGCGGUGAAAUGCGUAGAGAUGUGGAGGAACACCAGUGGCGAAGGCGGCUUUCUGGUCUGUAACUGACGCUGAGGCGCGAAAGCGUGGGGAGCAAACAGGAUUAGAUACCCUGGUAGUCCACGCCGUAAACGAUGAGUGCUAAGUGUUAGGGGGUUUCCGCCCCUUAGUGCUGCAGCUAACGCAUUAAGCACUCCGCCUGGGGAGUACGGCCGCAAAGGCUA